ACAAGACUGGAAGACCUCUGAAAGUGUUGAACUAAAUUUCCUUUGAUAAGAGUACAAAUUACACUUUAUUAGCUGCUGGUACAAUGGAACACAUAGUCAUAAUACAGAGAAAUCAGACUUAUCUCACUAAAGGCAAACAUUAACCAAUCUUUUUCUCAUUUUGGGUGCCUGAUUCCAUUUUAGAAGUCAAUAAAUGCAAGUCCUUAGAGGCAUCACACUUAAAUUAGAGUAAAAUGAAAGGAAGAAAAUACCUGAAUAUCCUGUAGUGAGUGACAAAGGAUUUGGAGAUGGUGAAUAUUGGAGACAUUGUAUGGAUUAAGAAUCACCUGAAUUGUUCUAAUAAAGCCUUACUACACAAGGAUUAAAUACACAUCUGAGAAGAUUUUUUUUGCCCCCAAAUUCUAGUAAUGGUAAGGAAGUGUUUACCUAAAUUGGCACAGUAUUUGGAAUCCAUGACCAAAGGUAAAAGACAUAGCUGGAAGCAGGGGUGAGACCCCUCCCAGGGAAUGAGAGAAAUAUAAACAGGGGACAACGGGAUUCUCUCAGAACUUCAAACCCUAGCCUUGUACUGGCACAGCUCAGGCAUUUAUUCUGGUUUUGCUAUUGUUUAACCAACCAAAAAAAAAAACAAAAACAAAAAACUUUUCAUAAGCUUUUCAAACUAGCAAUUAAAGAUGGAAUUGAA